rnacentral:rRNA from 1 species
UACAGAGGUCCCGAGCGUUGUUCGGAUUCAUUGGGCGUAAAGGGUGCGCAGGCGGUCGGGUGUGUCAGAUGUGAAAUCCCGAGGCUCAACCUCGGAACUGCGUCUGAAACUACUCGACUAGAGUACUGGAGAGGGUAACGGAAUUCACGGUGUAGCAGUGAAAUGCGUAGAUAUCGUGAGGAACACCAGAGGCGAAGGCGGUUACCUGGACAGUUACUGACGCUCAGGCACGAAAGCAUGGGGAGCAAAAGGG